UUAAAAAAUCAUUCUCAUGUAUUGUUUUCAGUGUCAGUCAAUACAUUAUGCUGGAUGCGUUUUCUCUUUGAAAAAGUGCCCUGCAGAAAUUGAUCAUGACUAAGUGGUGGAAGGAUUCAGGAAGAAAUUACCGAUUGUUCAACAGGAAAGGCGCGAAUCGAUAAUUUAUUCAGGGACAAUGGACUCGCAUAUCAUCACAGUGGAAAUGCUGAUUCGUUACCUUAUACUGAUUCUAAUUGUAAAAAAGAGUAACUUGAGUUUCAAUGUUCUAUGUUUCAUUUACGCUAUCACUUUUUAUUAUUAUUGAUUUAACUAGUGUUUAUUAUUUUCUUCAUCUAGUAUUUAUUAUUGGCAAUUGUGUAACGAAUGAAUUUUUAAUUUUAUAGUUUAAUCGAUUGACUUCAUCGUGACGAAUGGCAAGGAGAAAGGAACCGUGAUAAAUGAUAUUUUUCGAAAGAGAGAGAUACGUCGAUAUAAUUGCCACAUAAAGAUUUGACGGAGUAACGAAUGACAAGAAGAAGAAAGGAAUUAGAAAGCAAUGAAAUUGAUCGGAGACACUACCCCGUGGGAAAUCAAUAGGAAAAUCCGAUCGAGCGAAUACUUUUUCUUUACGAUCUGUGCUAUGCCGACAUAUAAACUAUAUAGCUGAUGGAAUUGUGAUUCAUGAAUAACUGUUAGAUAAAUAACACUUACCGAACUAGCAGUUGGUUUAACUAAUAACUAAACGGACCGUGAGCUAAUGAACCUCUUAGCUCAAUGUAUUAUGAAGUUAGACUGGCAGCGAUGCCUAAGGAAAAGGCCCGGACCCCGUAACCACUCGUUCACGACUGAACUCGACUUUGUUGAACUGAACUCGGCUCCACACAGCGUAGGAGUAGGUCAUUAGAACGAGGCGUAUGCCCGCAUUCGUGAUGGGACAGUGUAUACUGAUACCCACUUUAGUAUUUUCUCUAGUAUAAAGACGUUCUCUAGGAAACUAUCGAAACGCACUAUUUCAUCGCUGUACAAUUCCUAUAGGUAAAACGUAAGACACCUAAAAACCUAGGUAUUAUCUUAUUGCAACAUGUCUUUUGAAAUUUUAAAUUAUAAUGAUUGAGACUCAUCCUAGGAUUUCUCAAGUUACACUUGAAUAACCAUGAAAAAGAAAUUUAGUUAUCGUUCAAUACAAUGAUAGGACUUGGACUGUAUUGAAUUUGCUUCGUCAAAGAAACGACACGAGUGAAAUUCAAGAACCCACAACGAUCUAUAGGACGAUACAGAAGUACAUUAUAAUAGCACCUACCUAAAAAAAAUCUCAGGAUUUGUCGCUUUCCCGUAGGAAGAGUGAAACCCAAGAUGAUAUCAAUGUCCUCCAGUUAAACAGAAAAGCACUGGCGCUCAGAAUAUUGACAUGCUUCGAUGAUUACACGCACCACCACUGGUUGUACUCGCACCCCGAAGACCUCAACGCUCCGAAUGAGACUAGUUCGUGCAAGAUGGAGUGAAUCAGCCAAUGGUGAUUCGUGGCUUCAGCGUCUACAAAAAACUUACUUUUAUAUUAGUAUAUACAAAGCAUAGCCACAUGAUGGUGGAAGAUCUCAAUACUAUAGUUAUAAUAAAUCUGGGAGAAAAUCAA